UACGUAGGGUGCAGGCGUUAAUCGGAAUUACUGGGCGUAAAGCGUGCGCAGGCGGUUUGCUAAGACAGGUGUGAAAUCCCCGGGCUUAACCUGGGAACUGCGCUUGUAACUGGCAAGCUGAGUGUGGCAGAGGGGGGUGGAAUUCCACGUGUAGCAGUGAAAUGCGUAGAGAUGUGGAGGAACACCGAUGGCGAAGGCAGCCCCCUGGGCUAACACUGACGCUCAUGCACGAAAGCGUGGGGAGCAAACGGG
rnacentral:rRNA from 1 species